rnacentral:tRNA from 1 species
GUCCCUGUAGCUUAAUCACCAAAGCAUGGCACUGAAGAUGCCAAGAUGGCUGUUACAUGCACCCAGAGACAA